rnacentral:rRNA from 1 species
GUCGGUGUCUAUAGCGAUGAGGUUCCACCCGUUCCCAUCCCGAACACGGUAGUUAAGCUCAUUUGCGCCGAAGAUACUUAGCGGGCAGCCGCUUGGGAAAAUAGGUUGUCGCCGGCA